rnacentral:rRNA from 1 species
AAUGAACGUUGGCGGCGUGGAUUAGGCAUGCAAGUCGAGCGAGAACCCAGCAAUGGGGGACAGCGGCGCAAGGGACAGUAAUGUGUAGAUUAUCUGCCCUCGGGUCCGGGCUAGCUGCGGGAAACUGCAGGUAAUACCGGAUAACAUCUCCGGAUCAAAGGUGUGAUUCCGCCCGAGGAUGAGUCUACAUCCUAUUAGCUAGUUGGCAGGGUAAUGGCCUACCAAGGCGAUGAUGGGUAGCGGGUGUAAGAUCACGACCCGCGUCAUUGGGACUGAGACACUGCCCAGACACCUACGGGUGGCUGCAGUCGAGAAUCUUCGGCAAUGGGCGCAAGCCUGACCGAGCGACGCCGCGUGUGGGACGAAGGCCUUCGGGUUGUAAACCACUGUCAGAGGGGAUGAAAUGCAGGUGGGUUCUCCCAUCUGUUUGACAUAGCCUCAGAGGAAGGACGGGCUAAGUUCGUGCCAGCCGCCGCCGUAAUAC